rnacentral:miRNA from 1 species
GAAGAUAGCUUGUAAUGUACUCCCUCCGUUUCAAAAUGUUUGACACCGUUGACUUUUUAGUACGUAUUUGAUCAUUCGUCUUAUUCAAAAAAUUUAAGUAAUUAUUUAUUUUUUUCAUAUCGUUUGAUUUAUUGUUAAAUAUACUUUCAUGUACACAUAUAGUUUUACAUAUUUCAUAAAAUUUUUUGAAUAAGACGAAUGGUCAAACAUGUGCUAAAAAGUCAACGGUGUCAAACAUUUCGAAACGGAUGGAGUAUUUAUUGUAACUUU